AGCUUUCGACAUGAUUCUGAACAAUCCGCAAGCCCAUGUUGUUGAGAUCAUUAGUUGAAAGCCGA
rnacentral:pre_miRNA from 1 species